rnacentral:lncRNA from 1 species
UUCUGCCAAUAUGCCAUAUGCUCAGAAAUGUCUUCCAUAACUACCUUUUCAAAAAGUAACCUCAUGCUCCCCCAGGCUAACGAGGAGAAGCCAAGGAGUUGACCUGCCAGACAUCACCCCCACAGCCUCUAGCCACUGAGCUGCGCAGACAUCUGGACCCACAUCACAGAGGUACAGGAAGGUCAUAAAGGACAUUGUUCUGAGCUCCAGAAGAUAGAGCAGAAAUGAACAACAGAAGGAGGGCCUCUCUCAGGCUUCUCAAUGAAAACUGAAGCGCACUGAAAAAGUGAAGAAAAUCUCUGCAAUAAAGGCACACCAGACCUUUAUUGGUAAGAUGGAGGUCAGAGUCCAGAGUUUUCAUGUCAUUUGCAAAGGAGUUCAAUCAAAAUGGAUGAUCUUCACAAAAGUUGGAGGAAAUCAAGAAGAUACAUUCUACAAAUUCCCUGCUAGUGGAUGCCUCCAAUUUACCAAUGUAGAAACUACAGACCCGGACAAUUAUUUUAUUUAAAAAACUCUCCAGUUGAUUAUGUAUCUGGCAAUAUUCUCUGACCUACCUUGUCUGCUAGUAGAUCAUAAGCCCUGCGUUUUAGAAGAGGUUCUGACUUGUAUCUGAGAAGAAGGAAUGCUGCACAGAGAUGCCAAGAAUAAUCUGUACAGGCAAACCUCCAGUAUCUCCUCAUUCAGUCUGUUAACAUUGAUUAUACUCCUUUUGUAAAAUCACAUUUCUAAACUUUGGGCCAUGCUUUAAUCAUACCUGUGCAAUAAAAUCUGCAUAAAAACCAAGAUCAGAGAGCAGAUUGCCUCUACAUAGCUAAAUAUAUGGGGAGUCCCAGAGGAUGGUGUCCCAGAGAGGACGCAGGAGCUACACUUCCCACAGCCUUGCCCUAUGCAUCUCUUCGUCAUAUGUCUCACUAUCCUUUAUAAUAAAACCAUGAAUGUGUUUCAUGAGUUCUGUAGAUGCUUAGCAAAUUACUCAAACCCAAGGAGAAGACUGUGAGAACUCAGAUAGUUAGCAGGUUGGUCCAAAGCACAGGUAAAAAACAACCUGAAGUAGGGGUAGGGGGCAGAUUGGGGGACUGAGCCCUCGACCUGUGGUAUCUGAUACUGUCUCCAGAUAGUGUCCAAGUUCAAUUGUCC